rnacentral:rRNA from 1 species
UACGUAGGGGGGCGAGCGUUGUCCGGAGUUACUGGGCGUAAAGCGCACGCAGGCGGUCUGCUAAGUUUGGAGUGACAGUUGGUGGCUUAACUGCCAAAGUGCUUCGAAAACUGACAGACUUGAGGGCUUCAGAGGGACACGGAAUUCCGGGUGGAGUGGUGAAAUGCGUAGAGAUCCGGAAGAACACCAAUGGCGAAGGCAGGGUCCUGGCUGGCACCUGACGCUCAUGUGCGAAAGCCAGGGGAGCGAACGGG